UGCGGAGGAAAAGAAACUAACAAGGAUUCCCCUAGUAACGGCGAGUGAAGCGGGAAGAGCUCAAAUUUGUAAUCUGGCACUUUCAGUGUCCGAGUUGUAAUCUCGAGAAGUGUUUUCCGCGCCGGACCGCAUACAAGUCUGUUGGAAUACAGCGUCAUAGUGGUGAGAACCCCGUAACUGAUGCGGAUGCCCGGUGCUUUGUGAUACACUUUCGAAGAGUCGAGUUGUUUGGGAAUGCAGCUCAAAUUGGGUGGUAAAUUCCAUCUAAAGCUAAAUAUUGGCGAGAGACCGAUAGCGAACAAGUACCGUGAGGGAAAGAUGAAAAGCACUUUGGAAAGAGAGUUAACAGUACGUGAAAUUGUUGGAAGGGAAACGAUUGAAGUCAGACUUGUUAUCUGGAGUUCAGCCUUUCGGUGUACUCUCCAGUUUACAGGCCAGCAUCAGUUUUCGGGGCGGGAAAAUCGUAAUUAGAAGGUAGCAGCCUAGCUGUGUUAUAGCUUUUUACUGGAUUCCGCUUUGGGGACUGAGGAACGCAGUGUGCUUUUAGCAAUACCCUCGGGUAUUUCACACUUAGGAUGCUGGUGGAAUGGCUUUAAACGACCCGUCU
rnacentral:rRNA from 1 species